AACAGAUUUUGAAUCUUAACGUUCUCUUAAAGAACUAGAAGACCUACCAACACAGUGUGUUUAUAACCCUCUGCGGAAGUGAAGAAUGGCAUGAACCGUUUAUUACGUGCACAGCAGUGCAUCUCUCUCCUGGCACUGCUGAACCCCUCAGAAAACAUUAGAGUCUCUGCCCCCAUCGAGGGGAGUGUGGGGCUCUUCUCAAUGAGUUCCUCUUCCCUGGGGUGGGAUAAACUGCCUCCCUCCCGGGCGGGUCCUUCUGCAAAGGGCUGGGGCAGGUGGGCUCCCGCUCCUCCAGAAUGUACCUCACACCUCAUGAAGUAAUUGAUACAUCAUGCGAAUCAAGCCAACAAAUCCGUCCACCCUCUGCCCCCAGGGUGCCUCCCUUGCUGUGAGGGGUGCCAGAGUGGCUGGGGGGACAGCAGGGCUGCAGAACAGUGGGGGGAAGGCCUGCCUGCAGCCUCCUCUCAUGUCACUCGCCUAUGGGCUCCAUCGAUGAGACGCGAGGCAGCUGCUCAGGUCACUCUGGUAAUCGGAGCGUGCUGAGUGCGAGAAUCACUCCCUGCAAGAGCUAAAAGCCGAGAACAGUGAGGGACCGAGCAUGAGCGCGCUGGCACUUCUGAGACAGCUCGAGGCUGUGGAGAGCCUGCUAAAAAUAGCCCGCUCCCAGCUGAGGCUGGAACCCUGGAAAAUCCUGCUCUGGAGGGGUGGCUGGGGCAACCCCUCCUGUGUCCCUGUGUCCCUGCCGCCCUGCUGGUGGGGUGGGGCUGGCGAGGCUGGCAAGGGCCCGCCUGCUGGGAGCCUCUUCCCCUGCCCUGGGAAGACUGUGAGGAGACAGAGCUGUGACUUGACGGCCCCUGUCUGACGGUAGUUGAGGUGGGAGGCCCAGACCUGUCUCCCCGACCCUCACGCUGUUAGGGUAAGUGAGGAAUUCCCCUCUCUGAGACCAGGCACCAGGACAGGCUUCUGUCCUGGGUGGGCUAGGGGAGAUCAGUAAGGAGCUCCCCUGCCCAGCUGGGCGUUCAUGUUCCACAGCCCCCACUGAGACCCCUCAUCAGGCUACUGACUCCAGCCGUCUUCUGCUUUGCCUGAACAUGGCCUGUUCUUGGACCCCUGCUUCUCAGCCUAUUCAAACCCUCCCUACCUGAGGACUUCUCAUGAAUGUCUUCCCUCCUCCAGAAAGCCCCUCUGACCCUUUUGCUCAAGCCUCUCCUCCAGGCUCAUUCCUCUCCCCCUGCCAUCCAGUGUCCUGGACUUCCCUUCCCACUCGUGCAGCUCCAGAUGCCGGGGCACCUUGAGCAAACCCCUGUCUCUCUCUGGGCCUCUGAGGAAUCAAGGUCUAGAGCAGGCUGUGAGGCCCAGUUGGCUGGAGCCAAUCAUAUACCUUAUUGUGAUGUCCAUAAGUGUCACCAGACCCCACAUGAAGUCCUAGAUGGGGAGGAGAUUAUGAGAUGUGGGCAUGACCACUAGUCUAGGCCCCUGUCAAAUGACUGGCCAUCCAAUCUCCACUCACAUGCUUCCUGGGGAGGGGCCCUCACUAUCUCCUGAGGCAGCCUCUUCCCCUGUCUCCUCUGCAGGGUCCUGCCUCUGCCACAAGUUCCUUGGGGGGAGGGCUCUGGCACAGAGGAGGCCUCAGAGGACAAUCCCUGAAGCGGGGACCAAUCCAUGCUAGGGCAGGACUGCAAGGGAUGGGGAAAUGGAGGUUAGAGGUCCUGGGUCCCACCCAAGGUUGCCAACUCGAUGCGUUUCCUCAGCCUCAGAUGGAGCUGAGGGGGGAGGCAGAGGAGAGACCAGGGGGGACAGUAGGGUUUAGUACUGAGGAAGCUUUUCAGUCACCCUUUGGAGCUCCCCUCUACCAGCUAGAUGGGAUGCAGACUGAUUCAUGAAUCAAUGAAUAAAGCCAAUUAGAUCUUUAAAA